rnacentral:misc_RNA from 1 species
GGGAACUUAAAAUUUGUGGUCAAGUUGUAUAUUAAGGCUUCAUUUUAUUUGAAUUUUGGAAAAGUUUCUUUUUUAAAAUUGGGGAUGCAUUAUAAAUUGUCAAUAGCCCAUAUCAGUUUGGGAUAGGGGUAAUGUGUCCCUUAUAAAGUUUUGGGCACUCCUUUCCUCUUGAGCUAGCAUUUGGGAGUGAGUUGGGUCCAUCCUAUUUUCUUAAGAUAGUAUUAGAGCCUUCCAAUUAAUGUUGAGCCUCCCAUAAAUGUUUCACACCCUUGCUGUUUGGUCCUGAGCAUGAGGGGUGCGUGUUAACAAUAGAGUAAGAAAUCACAAUGCAACAAUUUGAGUAGUAAACAAAAGAAACAGAGCAGAAAUGGCAGCAAG